GACGCGGCCACCAAGCCACCACGCAGGGGAAGGGCGGCGGAACCCACAGCUCGAGCUCAGGUGAUUCUGACGCAGGCGCUCCACGGAAACCCUCCGAGAAUUCUGGGGGCCGUGGGGCCGCCCAGCUCAGUCCGGAGCUCCGGAACUCGGGGAAGAGCGUCCGGGAGCCGGGUCUGGGUUCCGCACUCCGUCCGCCCCGAUGGCAGAGAGUGAGAUACGGACGCCCCGGGACGAGGGGCUCAGGACCCGGCUACGGACACCUGCCUCCAUCUCCCUCCAGAUAACACAAGUGUGAAGAGAGGGGAGAGCAGCAAAGGCUGAGCUGCGUGUGCCUGGUCCCUUCCAGACUUUCCAGAUAACUUUGCCCCACGGAGGACAAGGAAAGCCAAAAGAGAGAAGCCAGGAUUGUUAGUCUUGGAAAAUGCCUCCAUAUAGAAACAUGAGCCGGAGAAUAAAUCACUUGCCUCUCUAACCAGUUGGAUUUGGUCCGUGAGUUCCUAGUUUUGUUCACCUGACUUAGUCCCUGACUUUUAAAGUCAAGUGCAUCAACAUGCUGCCAGUACUUUGAUGAACAUCUAUACAGGAUCCAUCUCUACAGCAGUGAAUUCCACCUGGGGUAAAGUAUGCAUGUAGGUUAGGAUGCUACAGUGGGACUCUGUCUGCUUUUUCUGUCUGUUUCUGCUAAGGCCUCCACACAUUAGAUGGUCAGUACUCUUUGUUCUAUGGGAAGGGCUAGAAUACCUAAACAGGACUUUCACGGAGGGAGCAACAAACCAGUUUUGUGGCUCUCAGCAAACAUCCAUCUCAAAGGUGAGUUUGGAAAUAAUGGAGAGUAUGUCAGUGUGUUUGUGUCUCAGGCCUACUUCCCACGCCUAUGGGGGAAGGGUGGGACUUAUCUCUCUCUUCCCUCAAGCCUGCUAAGAGGAGAUUAGACUAUAUUUGAGAUAAAUACCUCCAGCACAGUGACAGCCAUGCAGCUCAUGCCUGUGAAAUCAAAAGGCAAGAGGAUGCGGCUGGCUGGCUGCUCUGAGGGCAGAGAGAAAAGACCAGACAGCUCUUGGAACAGACUGUUCUUCCAGUGACGAUGGGGACAAAGAUGCAUGAGUGUAUCUCCAGGACUGGAUGUGAGCUGCAUGGGAGAAAAAGAGUGCAGGCCUGCAGCCCGGGAAAACCCAAAAGGAUGCCAUAAACCCAACAGGAAGAUGGGUUGUCAGGGCCCCAGGAGCUGAGAAAGGAAUAAAAAUGACAGAGAGAGAAAAGUACAUUGUCCACAUCAUAAAUAACACAGCUGAAUGUGCCCAAUGAGGUCCUCAGAGAACCCACAGAAGUGCCCAUGGGAACAGUUCUCUCUGGGACUCAAACCCAGGGAGAGGUGCUUUUAAACAUGCAAAGAGAGGGAACCAUCAUCAUAUUACAUUGCAGUGUCCACAUGAAUAAGACCCUAACUUACCUCAUAUUUCUCCUCCUUCCUCUGCUUUAAUCCAGGAGGAGCCAGAGACCUCUCAGUAAGUGAAGAAGAGGGGAAAUAGGUAAAAAGCCACUAUUCCCCAUGUUAGAUGAGGAAAUAGGAACAUUCUCCUCCUCUACCCAACACCCACUGUAGCUUUUAGUGGCUGGAGUCAGGAGAGAAAAGUUUUCAUGUUAAAUGAAUUUCAGAGGUUUGACUAUGACAUAGAAAUGGAUAUUUUAAUUACUGAAAUAAAACUGUUUUGUAAUUAGAGGUGACUGGAAGACAUUUUAUCCUCAGCAGAAGAAUAGAUAAGGAUAGGACCUUCCCUCCCCCUUGGACCCCACCAAGGUUUUAUCCAGAGGCAGAGGAAGAAGUAACCCUUUAUGUGAGUUUGAAUGGGCAGAAGAAGAAAAGGAUGAAGUUGUCUUCUAAUUGCACUCUAUGAAUGUUGCUUUUUUGUUAACAUAAAUGUCACAUAUAUUUUUAGCUGGUGUAACAAAAAAAAAAACAUCUCAAGCCGGCUUGCAUAAUAACAGCUUUGGGCACAGUCUGAUCAAGGCCCCGGUUCUGUUUGCUAGUGAUCCUCCUGAUUCUGCCCUCUCUCCAUGCUAGUUUCUUCCUCAGAUUGACAUUCCUCUUGGUCACCAGAUGCCUACAAUCAGCGGGUGCAACUCUCUGCUCCCUGCUCACUUCUGAAGGGGAGAGCAUGGAUACCAACCACAGAACAAAGCCCUGCAGUCUCCCGCUGAGUAGAACACCCACGAAGAAGUGUUGGCCAUUUCCCUAUUGCCAGGGAAAUAUCAUGUAUUGGUUGGAUUAGGCCUGUAUUAAUCCAGUUAAUGGAACAUAGUUAAACUAUCCCAGACCCUCCAUAGACACUAGAGAAAAGGUGAAUCCAACCCAAAUGUAAGACUGCUACUCAAUAGGACAGAAAAGGCAUGGAUGUCAGUGAAAUGGGAAAAAAAAUGUGUGCCAAAGGAGAUCAGGAAGGACUGAAUAGAAGACAUGGCCUUUGAAUUGAAGCCUUUAAUGAGGAAAGGGGAUUGACAUUGUAUGAGGGCCAGGGUGGAGAGCGGGUUGUGAAGAGGAUAGGGAAAAUGCAAGGACACUGCGGAUAUAAGAAUUAAUGGGAGAAUCAUGGGCCACAAAGCAGCAGGAUUAUAUUACAGAGAUUGUAAGUAGUGUUUAUUGAAGCACAGGGUACUGGGGAGGUGGAGGAAAGAUGAAACUGUUAAGGAAUUUAGACACAGCAUGUAGUGGUUGGCAGGAAACAGAUGACACUCUCAAACAGGGUAGUUGAGGAGAGCUAAUAAAGGGACCAUUUACCAAGGUGUAGUUAGGAUUAAGAGAAAGCAAACUGGGAUGGUGCUGUGCUAUGGGCUAGCAACAGCAGGAAGUCAUUUCUGUCCCUAGGUCUGAAGAGGGAAGCAGGGGAGCCAACACCAAGGAACCAGAGAUCUUAGAGUCUGAAAGUCUGCAUGAUAGAAGCCAUGGCCUUUAGUAGAGGGAUCUUGCCUACUCUUAGCAGCCUGGCUUGGAGGGGCCUGGGGAAAUAAUACCCCAACCUCUCUCCUCUUCUUCAAUAUUGAUGACUUCCAUUGGUUAAUAUCAAACUGGAAGUUGGAGAGAAAGGGAGUCUAUCUAUACAAGUCAGCACCCUGUAGCCCAGAAGAGAGUAAAAAGGGGGUAAAAAGCAAUUUCCGAGGGACAAACAGAAAACACCCAGCACAGAAGGAGGAACAAACAUUUGGAGGAACAAACAGAAAAUAUCAGAAAACAUUUUAAUCCUGGGUCCUGGGACGUCAUGGAAGGUUUUGAAGUUAGGAGCACCGCCAUCCUCUAGGGGGAGCUCAAGCAUUUCUCUCCACUCAUCCCAAAGGCGGUGCAUCAAAAGAUCAGGGUGAAACUGACUUCAAGGAAAGAGCCCUCGGCUAGAGGAAGAAGCCUGGAGAAGUAAAGGGAUUGCUCCUGGAAUUGGAAAUCUACCCUUUGCACUUCUAUUUACUGCAUUUGGAUUGAUUUGCAAGAAUAACCAUUAAAAUAAUCAAAGCUAAAAGUAAGUAUGUACUGUGUGCCAAGUUCUUGACUCAUUUGGCACAACUCUUCGGAGGUAAGCACCAUUGAAAUUCUCACCUUCUAGAUUAAGAGGCUGAUAGAACCUGGAUUUGAGCCCAUUGACAAAGGACCACUCUCUGCUCUGUUCUGUUCUCAUGCUGCUGGUUUAGUCAGCUGAGUCAAAGGUUGCCUUUGCUUAGAAGGCCUAACAAAACCAGAGCAGGGUCCAUGGAAAAGGAGACAUGAAAAGGGACAUAUUUCCUGGUACAACGGAGUAAGUGUACUCACACCACCCUGUUCCUCCCACUGAAUGCGGCUAAAAAACCUGGGCAGAAUAAGUGGAGCAUCUGAGGACUCUGAAAAGUAAAUAAUAGCAGGCAGAUUGGAGAUGAAGACCAAAAUGCAAACCUUUCAUUGGAGAACAGUCUUCCCCCACACCAUCCCAUAGAAAUACUGUUCACUAUAUCUGGUUCAGGAGGACUGACUCUCCCAACUCCUUUCUCCAGGAGUGGAUACAUGAUCCAGGACUGGCCAGAAUUCUACAUCAAGCAGCCCGUAGGCACGGAGGAGAAUACAAAUUAGAGGAUCAGCCAGCAAACUUGAUGGGUGAUGAGAACUGUUCAAGACAACCCUGAAGAUGUUGCUUAUUUGAUAAGGUUGCUGGUGCUGCUGCUACUGAAGAUAGAACAACAGUUAAGCUUUCUGUGUAUGUGUGUGUUUUCCAUCUGUUUUUCUUUGUAAUCAGUCGGUAUAAAAGUGAGCAGUGAAGAAUCGGGGGGAAAUAAAUGUACUUUUUAAACAUGUUAAAUUUGGAAAAUAUCUAGAGCUCAGAAGAAAAGUGUAAACUUAAGUUAGAGAUUUGAGAGUUAGUGAAGCUCUAAGAGGGGCAGAGUGUAAAGGUGAGGGCAACAAGUAUAUGUGCACACACAAUCACACACAUACACCGGUGGCAGGCAAAGAAAGAUUAAAUCCCUUCUUAGCAAAACUUCAAUUCUGAGAAGAUUUUUCCUAUCUGAAUUUGUUGAACAAUAUUAGAGAUUUUUUUUUUCUAACCACUUCAUAAAUAAUAAAACUGAGCAACAGAGAGGAUGGGUGGCUGACUUGUUAAGGAACUCCUAAUUAGUGCUAAAGAGUCUUAAAACCUAGGUUUCUGGGCUCCCAAUUCCAGGUUCCUUGGAAGUCAAGAGAAGACAAAAACAUACGAUCAUUUACUUUAUCCCUAACUUCACUUGAAUAAAACAUUCCAUAAGAUUAAGGUUAAUGCUUCCUUUGUCUGACACAUCUAUUUAAGCCAUAUGUCUGGUUAGUUUCAGCACGUUACUAGGCCAGUUCAGCAAUGCUCGAAAGCAAUUCAAUUUUCAAAGAACAGUUCUCGAGAUACAUACAAUAAAGCUCAGAUUAACCAGGAAUCAUCGAACCAGAGUUGUUUUACUUUCUACUUAUAAAGAACAUAAGAAAGCACUCUUGAUCUAAGGCAUGACACUGAGCUGGCUCACACCUGCUCUGAUCUUUAUUACUUUCUGUAUGUAAAAUUCUCACAGUACAGUAACUGUGAGGAAAAUAAUAAUUUUGUGCACAAUACUUUAGGUAGGAAGGAAACUAUAUUAAUAAUAAUUCAAUUUAAGUAGAAAUAUAAGUAAACUUAAUUACAGGCUUUUGAAAAUCCAAGCCUAUUUAUUUUAUCCAGUUUUAAAAUUCAAUUCCUAUUUAUUAACUAUUUAAACCUACUCUGUGGAGCAUACUUAUACCCCUCGAAAUUAUCAGAAUUAAGAAAAAUUCAGUAAUUCCUGUGUCAAAAAUAUUCUGUAAAAGUAAACUGUUCAACAGAGAAAAAAAAAAACAAAAAUACUGCAUGAAGCACAUAUGGUAAACAAAAAAACUGAAGUGAUUAUCAUAAUCAUGAAUUUUAAGAAACUGAAAAUGAUUAUCAAGGUAAACAAUAUAUGAAAUAUAACAAAUCCAAACAAGAUCAUGUACCUACAAAACCAAUUUUUCUAAAUACCAUCCUAACUUUUAAUAGCAGAAAAUAACAUUGUUUACUGCCUAAAACAUUGUACAGAAGAGAGAGCUCUAAAAUACUAAUCACAAGCCAAUAAAUCUUACCUUCUACAACAAAUUGCCCACUUCUGAAAUUUGUUUUCAUUACUACUUUUCUAUGUGCACUAACUUAAAGAAUUGCAAUGGUACAGUAAAAGAUACUUUGCAACUAGAAACAAAAUUCUAGAUUGUUUUCCAAAGUUGGGUACUUGCAUAUUAAAUUUUCUCAAAAGGAGACCCACCUGUGUAAUGUUCUUAUCUAUCUGGAACAGGGGUUGGUAAACUUUUUCUGUGAAGUGCCAGACAGUAAAAUAUUUUAGGUUUUGUGAAUUAUACAGUCUGUCAUAAUUAUACAACUCUGCCCUUACAGUGAAAAAUCUGCCACAGGUAUUACUUAAAUGAAUGGGCAACGCUGCAUUCCAGUAACAACUUAUUUCCAAAAAUAGACAACAGGCUAGAUUUGGCCCAUAAGCUGUAGUUUGCUGAUCCUUCACCUAGAAAACCAAAUUUUCUCUCAAUUUCUCAUUUCCAGGAAUGUGUAUUUAUUUAUUCAGGAAAAAAAAAUCUACUAAUGGUAAAAACUGGUGUUAGAAUGAUAUACUUUAUAAAUAGAAAAAAACUACAGAAUGUUUUCUCUAGAGACCUGUAAGAGUGAAGAUCUGACUAAUAAAUGAAGGGAAAAAGGUCUCUUCAGAGAUGUUUGAGUCUAGCAUUUGACAAAGUCUAAAUGGAUUAUUUCUUCUAUUUUAGCUAAGCAAGGUCACCCAAUAAGGGUUAAAUAAUUUUGACACCCAUAGGUAGUUCUAAAACUAUUCCAUAUUAGGGCAGAAACACAGUGAUAAAAUGAAAUCUUUCAUUAAAUAUAUUAACAUAGUUCUAUAUUUUGGCUGAUGUUCUGUACCACCUAAGACAAUGCUCCACCAACAAGGUUGAAAGACAUUUAUGGUAACAGCAACAUAAUUACUGCAACUCUUGGUGUAUAAUGACAACUGUAUUAACGAGAUAUGAUUUACUCCCUGGAUAACUCCAAGAACAUAGGACACAGAAUAAAGAAGUAAACAUCUCAAACCUUGAUAAAGCAACAACUACAAACUUUCCUUUGCCACUCUCUUAAGUGCACCUUUACUUCCCUGAAGUAUCUGCUCCCCUAGCCACAUGGGCCCAGAAACUCAGAGGUUUCAUAUGUAACUGUGCAUCAGAAAAAAGAGCCUGGGAUGGAAAAAAAGAUGCCUGGGUGCAGAGGUGUGUGCAUAUAUGUGUCUGCCUGCCUGUCUUAAAAGUUUAUGAUUGCUUUGAUAUUUAAUAUAAAGCUUGGAACACAAUCAGACUGAGAAAUAUAAUAAGUAUAGUACACCUAAAGCCAUCUGAUAUCCCUCUAAAUGAAAAAAACAAUUAUUUAAAUAUUGGUAAAUAAAAACGAAUAGGAUACACAUUACCCAUGAGAUAAACUUGUCGAAAAAGUUUAAUAUGAAGCUAAUCAGUAGCAAUCAAUCAGACAAAUCUGGAAUGUAGAACCCUUCAUAAGACAAUUCACCUGGAUUUUUCAUAAGUCAAUGUCAUAAAAAAUAAAGGCAGGGAAUGAAUACAGGUUGGAGACUAGACUCAUAACACACAUACUGUCAAUAAUUAUUUCUUGGAUUAAAAAAGCUAUAAAGGAAAUUUUGGGGGCAACCAGAGAAAUCUGAAUACUAACUGUCUGUUAGAUAAUAUGGUAUCAAUGUUAAAUUUCUUGGAUAAUAAAGUAUGAUUAUAUACGGGAAUUCUUAGGUACAUGCUGAAGUAUUUAGGGAUAAAACACUGGUAUCUGCCAUUUUCAAACGGCUCAGAAAAAAGUUUUAUUAAUAUACAGAUAAAGUAGUGUCAUAAAAUAUUAAGUGGUAAAUCCAGGUGAAAGAUUUUCAUGUAUUAAUUUUUCAACUUGUCUGUAGGUUUGAAUUUUUCAAAUUUAAAAUUUUGAGGGAAGGGGGUUUAUCAGGAUAAAGUCUUAGUUUGGCUCCUUCUUGUGGGGUAUAAACAGAUACUUACUUUCCAUUUCAGCUUCCCUUAGUUUAUUACUCUUUCAGUACCAGACUAUUAUCAAUCCCUUAGUUUAUUCCUCUUUUAGUACCAGAUUAUAAUCACUGAGGCCUCAUUUGGUGAAUUCUAUCAAGGGUCAUCUUGGGAGUCACCUCCUUCAGGCAAUUUUUCUUGACUUUCCAGGGUAGGCUAAGGACCCUGUUAAGACAGUUUGUGUUUUACUACCAUGUAGAAAUUUCCAACUACUUUUUUUUGUCCUUUACUAGGCUGCAGGUUCUGGAGGUUCCAGCAUAGUUCUGACACAUGGUAGGCCUUCCAUAAAGGCUUGUGGAACAUUUACCAUCUAGGGCUAGGUGGUAAGGAGCACCAGAGAGAGAGGCAUAGUUUGAAAUCCACAGAUACAGGGAGGAAGAGGCAUUUUUAUUGUAUCAGGCCUAAGGCUAGGCAAUUUAUGGUUACCAUUUUAUUCAGGUAGGUAAUUUUUAAAAAGAAGAGUUCUAGCUGUCCCUCUAUGUAAAUUUAAUAUCUUAAUGUUAGCGAGUCACUUGGAACACUUUGCUUUACAUCAUGCGGCCUCUGCUUAUUAGUCGUAGAGAAGUUAUUUAAACUCUAAGGCAGUUUUCACACCUGUAAAACAGGGACAGUUCUUACUGUGCCUGUUUCACCACAUUUUAAAAAAUAUCAAAUGAAAAUAUACUUAAGUAAAUACGGAAAAAACAGGCAUUAAGUGGAAAGUCUGCACUGUUUUCUCCCUUAAUUCAUCCUCUCUGCAGCUUCUCAAGGUUCCUCUAGUCCUUCGCUGGCUGGAGACCAAAUGGAAAAGAUAGGUCUCUGUCUACUUCAAGGCUAACCUUAGGUAGCUCUGUAAAUUUUGGGGUUUACAUCUUUAAUGCCUCCAAUAUAUUGAGAAUGCGCCAUGAAUUCUCAGUAAGAUUUAUAGCUUAUAAGGCUUUUAGAAAGUUUGCUAUUUACUAAAAACCUGAAAGAAAAUGUUAUUUUAGUCAAUUAUUGAAAAUUACAACAUUUAUUGGUUCAACGAUUAAUCAAUAGUAUACUUUUCCUACUUCUACUGAAACUUAACAGAACAUUUCUUAUCUAUGAUGCAAUUUUUAACUAAAUUGUCUAUACAAAUGGAAAAAAAAAACACCCCAAACCAUAAAUACCACAGAAACUUUUUAAAUUUACACAGUGAUUUCCCCUGAAACCACUGCACAACCAAGCAAAAAAAAAAAAAAAAAAAAAAAAUCAAAGCAAGGCAAAGUUCAGGUUAAGAAGGCAAGCAACUGGCUAUACAUACUGAAAACUUGUCUUCAGGCUACUAACUUACUUUCCAAAUUGGACAAAAGUCAAAAUGCUAAAUUUAUUCUUAGCUUUGAAAAUGCAAUUUCCUGGUUCUGUUAGAUGAGUUUCAAAUCACAUGCUUUUAGGAAACAUGCAAUAUAAACAUGUUUAAAGGCAUAUACUCAAAAAUUUAUAGUAGUUUCACAAGUUCUAAGCUACAAUUUUAUUCCCCAUAUUAACUAUCAGAGUUAGCACAGAGACAAGCUCACAGAUUGCAUCUAAUCUUUGGUUGCAAUUGUUCCACCUGUUAUCUAGCCCUCUAAGAAAUAAAACAACAACGACAACACUUUGAGGUCUCAAUCCACUUUACGAAAAGAAAGCUUUAUGAAAAAGCCUGAACAAUGAAUUCAAACAUUAAGGAGAAAAUGAGAAACGUUAGGUGUGUGAAGUAGGAAAUGUUAAUUUCAUGCACUUAGGAACACACACUCACACCCCACAGUAGUAGAAGCAGUAGAAGAGGAAAACACUACAUGUGUAGGGGUAGAAAUAUUUGUUACAUCAUGAUGCUGGCUGGCGAUGGAGGGUUGCCGCCUUAGAGCCCCCUGAAUGGAACUUCCACUCUGGAAAGCAUUCACUACAUCCAUCUGCAAGGAAUCAGAGAUUGUGACAGCUUGCUCAGCAAGAGAGAGAGAGAACAAGAGAAAGGACCAUUCCAUCUAUCAACAUAUAAAAAGAAAAAGGCACUUUUUACACAGCAUAUAGGCAAGAAUAGCAUUUUGAGAUGAAGUGGGGGAUGGGGGAGCUAGGAAAAAAGGAGCUUAGGGGCAUAUAGACACAUUCUUUCAUAAUCAGUUAAAAGUCUCACUCAUUCCAGGCACCAGUAUUACUUUUCAAGAGAAUACAAUUUGUGGGUUGGGAAGGCUAGAGAGGAAGUUUAAGGAGCACACUCGAACCUCCUCCCCAGGUCAAAAAGCCCUGGCUCCCAUCAUCUCUCCUACCUCUCUACCAGGCCCAUACCUGUGUUUGGAUUCUGUUCAGACCUCUAAACCACAAGAUUUGGCCACGCCGCAACUCCCUUUCAGCGUGAUCAAUCUCUUCAACAUCCUCUGCUAAUUCCUCCUCAGGUAUUUCUUCCUUUUGUGUUCCAUGACCAGCUUCUUUGAGGAAUUUUAAACGGCUAGUUGGAAUUGUUGAAAUAAGCUACAACACAGGGGAAUGAACUUAGAAAUAAAUCAUAUCAAGUAAAGGUAAGCUGAUCAACUGUAAUACUAAAGGUAUUAAAAGUGGUGAGAGUAUCCGACUAUCUUUACCAAUGAAGUAAUGGGAUCCUGUUGAUUAGUCUUUCUCUCCCAGAGCAAAAUACAUUCUUCUCUUAGCUACACAAAAGAUUUGAGUUUGAAGGAUAAAAAGUUUUCCUAAAUGGAAAUUAACCUGAUUACAUUUUUCAUAUUUUCAUCAGGACAUUCAAGACAGUACAUUGUAAAACCAUGCUCUGAUAUAUGUAUUUACUUAAAAAGUCCUAUUUAUUUUGAAUACAAUGAAAAUGGCAGGUGGUCUUACUAGAUGCAAAACACGUUUACAUUUCAUUAAUGCUGUCAGAGUUCAAUGAGAAAAAAUGUAUAAAAUUUUUAAAAAAAUCAUUAAGGUUACACUGAAAAUAGUUUUGUUACAUAUUUUUUUUAAAAUGCAACAGUUUAAAAUUGGAUUAGUACUGAUUGAUGACGCCAAACAAAAACAGAUGCCCUAGAAAACACAAAGGAUACAAGAAACACCAAUACACGUAUAUUAGCUUAUGUGUUAACAUCCAUUCUCUAAGGCAGCAGUUGGGUUUAUCAGGGAGAAACAAGCAUGUAGUCAGCUACAGAAUUCUGCUUGGAGAACUUCUAGUACACCCACCUCAUUUCACCAAGGUGAAAUAGGCUUCAAGGCACAUAAAGUGACUUGCUCAUGGAGUGACUAGGAACCUAGGUCUCCUGACCACCAAAGGCAGUGCUUGUUCUACCAUGGUACACUUAGUAUGGGUCUUACUUAAAAGAUGAUCUCUAUUAAUGAGGUACUCAAAAUAGAUAAGAAACCUCAGAAUCUAGAAACAUAGUUAAGAAAAAGAAGAGACACAAAGAUGUAAAGAUUGGGCUACAUUUAAGGAAAACCUGAAAGUCUGGUUUCACUGAUUUGCAGAAUGACAAUAAAUUAGCUCAUGCAAAUUAUAUGCCAUAAUAUAUAUUAACCUUCAUCUAUGAAAAUGUUAGAUUUUCUAUAAAUUAGUUUUAUAGUAAUGGGCUUAAAAUGAACAAUGCAUAAAUCACUGUCACAUUUAAAAAAUAAUGACAUGCAUUUGCAAGUAAGCUGCCUAUAGUAAAUAUGAGGUAUAUCUCUUAUUUCAGGCACUUUAUUUCAUAUAUACACUGUUAAAGCUAUUCAAUUCAAAUCUAAAACAUCAUUUUGUGACCCCUUUUUCCAGGUAACAUUAUUUUUAUAAAAACAUUCUCUAAGGUCAGUUUUUCCUAUGCUGCAUAUUGGAUUAAAUUACAGAACAAAAUGACAAUGUAUUUUUUUUUUUUUUUUUGAGAUGAAGUCUCGCUCUUCUCUCCCUGGCUAGAGUGCAAUGGCGCGAUCUUGGCUCACUGCAACCUCUGCCUCCUGGGUUCAAGCGAUUCUCCUGCCUCAGCCUCCCAAGUAGCUGGGAUUACAGGCGCCUGCCACCAUGCCCAGCUAAUUUUUAUACUUUUAGUAGAGACGGGGUUUCACCAUGUUGGCCAGGCUGGUCUCUAACUCCUUACCUCAGGUGAUCCACCCGCCUCGGCCUCCCAAAGUGCUGGGAUUACAGGCGUGAGCCACCGCACCCGGCCAUGUAUUUUUUACAUUGUUGUAAAAAAUUUUUUUCUGAAAAUGUAAAAAUAGGUUAUAGAGUAAAAGAUACAGAUAUUAGCAUCCUAACCAGUUAUAAAUACAUCAUUUUUAAAAACCGCUACAAAACUUCUAAAAAACAAGUUAAAAAAACACAUAAAAAGUUAGGAUAGUAUUUUAUAGUACAGGCAUAAUCAUAAUGAACAAGUGACAUACUGGAACUAAUACGACAUUAAAAAAACUUAUCUUUGAAUGCCCUCUCUUUACUCACCACAUUAACCAUUUAGAAUCAAGUAAUGAAACUGUUAAAGAAAAUACACACUAGAAAUUAAAAAAAAAAAUCACUUUAGGUUUAAACAAAAACUGAUGAAAUUUUUACCUGGCCCCAGAGUAAUGUUCCCAUUCCUAGGAAUAUUGACCAUAGCCACUGUUCUAUUGAAAGUUCUGAACAACUGAAAGGUUUUCCACCAAACUGCACAAUUAUUAUCUGGAGGAAUAAUCAAGAGUAAAUUUACUUAAAUCUUAAAUUUUAAAAUUCAUAUACUUAAAAAAAUAUCAAAUUUAUGUCCUCUAAAACAAGGUGAACAACCACUAUUCUGAUGAAUUGUAUUAUAUUAGUCACAACUGAAAAUAAGACAACUGAAAUAGACCUUUCCUCUUUCCCCUCCAGUCCACUUUGCCUCUUAGAAAAAAAGACAACUGAAAUAAAGUAAAAUCUCUGCCCAAUAUUUUUGAUGCAUGCGUAUUUCAUGUUUAAAUUACGCUUACUAAAAAGUAAAAUUCUUAUGACCAAGAAUAAUAAUUUUAUACUGUUUCCAAUAUAACCCCAAGCAACUACAUUCCCCUGUAUUUAGUACAACUCUUCAAAUAAUCUGUGCCUUUCUCAAAAUAUAGUACUCUUUUGUAGAAAAGACUGUAUGUUACUGGAAAAAUGCACAAUAUUAAAAAAAUUCCACAUAGCUGUUUAUUUCUAGUUAACAUUUAGACAUACUAAGAUAAACACAGACUAUAUGAGAAGAAAGGCAACUUGGAAAGUUCUAUGAAAUAUGGGCUAACUCAGGUGAGGUGAUCUCAGAUUUGCUCUCCUUUAUGAAAAGAGUGAGGUCUGAUGAUGAAUAUAAAUUCAUAAUACAGUGCUUAUGUUUUGCUUGUUAUUCUAAAAGGCCUAAAAUAGUGUGCAUGGAAAUAUUAAGAAUUAACUGGGGUUGGGUGUGGUGACUCAUACCUGUAAUUCUAGCACUUUUGGAGGCUGAGGUGAGAGGACUGCUUGAGCCCAGGAGUUCAAGACCAGCCUAGGCAACAUAGCAAGACCCUGUCUUAAUUAAAAAAUAAAUAAUUUUUUAAAAAAAGAAUCAAUUAACAAUAUUCACCCUCCUGUGAGUCUGACAGGCCUCUCUUUGAUAUGGCAGUUAACUAGUUCCCAAAUAUUAAAAUCAAAAAUAAUUUUGGUAGUUAACAUUUUAAAACCUUAAAGUUACAAUUCCUUUCUUUUUAGCUCUACUUUAUUCAAAUUCAAGUCAUUUUCACUUCUCGGUUCCACUAUUUUUUAAGUUAAUUUGUGCACUUGUACAGAUAGAUUUCCAACUGCUUUGUUAGUAGCCCAAUUAGAUUACAACUGAUUUGACAAUCAGGUCUGGAUUUUAGUAGAGAUAUAAAACUGAAGUAAUUUUCUUUUAUAAAUCAAGAAAAUAAUGAGCAUGAAGAAUUCAAUAUGUAUUUGUACAAGUGAUCUUAAUUUUUUUUAAAAUUUAAACCUGAUCUUUUUUUUGGUAUAAUGUGGGAUGUAAAAAGAAUACUAAAAUGCUGGGAAACAAUUAAUUGAUUGGCUGACUUUGUUUCCUAAGAAAUAAUAUCUUUCACUUUACAGUUGGAAGAAAUAAAACUGUUUGUCUAGUUGGUUGUGGCAUUUACUUCUAAGAACAGGAGAUUCAGUUCCCAUAUUCUUUAACAUAUACCUUAAAUCACCAUGAUAUUAUAUAUGUCACCAAGGCAACAGUUCCACACAUGUUCCACACAAGUGAUUGCUAGAACAAGCUGUUUACCUAAUGUCUCCCAUUUAACAGGCAAAUUUGAAACUAUCUUUUCCAAUUACCCACCUGUACCACAAAAGUGCCUAAAACAAUUGUGCAGAAGAUGGCAUUGUUAAAGAUUCCUUCGAAUACAUUUCUUUCACCAUGAAUUUUCCGGG
rnacentral:lncRNA from 10 species